UACCAGACUCCUACGGGAGGCAGCAGUGGGGAAUAUUGGGCAAUGGGCGCAAGCCUGACCCAGCAACGCCGCGUGAAGGAAGAAGGCUUUCGGGUUGUAAACUUCUUUUCUCAGGGACGAAGAAAGUGACGGUACCUGAGGAAUAAGCCACGGCUAACUACGUGCCAGCAGCCGCGGUAAUACGUAGGUGGCAAGCGUUAUCCGGAUUUAUUGGGUGUAAAGGGCGUGUAGGCGGGAGCGCAAGUCAGAUGUGAAAACUCAGGGCUCAACCCUGAGCCUGCAUUUGAAACUGUAGUUCUUGAGUACUGGAGAGGCAGACGGAAUUCCUAGUGUAGCGGUGAAAUGCGUAGAUAUUAGGAGGAACACCAGUGGCGAAGGCGGCCUGCUGGACGACAACUGACGGUGAGGCGCGAAAGCGUGGGGAGCAAACAGGAUUAGAUACCCGCGUA
rnacentral:rRNA from 1 species